UUGUGGAGAAGGACGCCGAAGGUGGGGCUAAUGACUGGGGUGAAGUCGUAACAAGGUAGCCGUACCGGAAGGUGCGGCUGGAUCACCUCCUAACAGGGAGACAACAAAAUGUUUAAUAUUAUUAUUUUGUCACCUUAGGUCGAUCGGUAUCUCACAUUCUUAAUUUAUUAAGGAUUUUAUUUCCUAAGUUUUUUCUAGGUCACACCCAUUACUUUUCCUGGGCCAUUAGCUCAGGUGGUUAGAGCGCACCCCUGAUAAGGGUGAGGUCCCUGGUUCAAGUCCAGGAUGGCCCAUAUCUCUAUGUUGGGGGUAUAGCUCAGUUGGUAGAGCGCCUGCUUUGCAAGCAGGAUGUCAGCGGUUCGAGUCCGCUUACCUCCACUGAUUACCACCUCUUACAUAAUUUUAUUAAGGAAAUGUUUUGAGUAGUGAUCAAAUUCUGAACGAAUCUAGCUUCCUAAUGAAAUCAUUAAGAUGCUGGACUCAUUGAAUUUAUUUCAUUGUUUUCAGAGAACCUUGACAACUGCAUAGAUUAUUUUUAAAGACAAUAAGCAUCUUUAAGAUGCAGAUUUAUUAUUUGUGCGAAUGCAUUAAUAACAAUUCUAUUAAGCUGAUGCUUCAAUUAUGAAGUUAUUGGUCAAGCUACAA
rnacentral:misc_RNA from 1 species